AUAUUGAGAAGUGAGUUUGUAGAAUAAAUUAGAGAUUGAUUUAUGAAUUAUUGAUUAUGUAAUUGAAGUACUAAGUGAUUGAAUUAUAUGAGAAGUUAUUGGAAGCUUGAUUAUGGAUGGAAAAUUAUGAUUGUUGUUUAUUGAGAGUUAUGUGUGUGUGUUUCGAUAGAGGAAGUCUAUGAUUACAAGAAUUCUGUGAAUUUAGAUUAGUUGGAGUCAAGUCUGUUAUUCUUAGUGUUGGAUGGAAUUUAUUAAGAUUUGAAUGGUCUUUUGAGAGUGCAGGGUUGCACAUUGUGGUUAUCAGUUGAUGAAGGAGUAUUGUUACUGGAAGGAAGCAUUGUAGUGUUUCUUAGUGUUUUAGUGGUGUGGAAUACAAUUAAUUGUAUGACCCUAACAAGUGAAACUCAUGCGCUUAG
rnacentral:lncRNA from 1 species